ACCAAGAGGGCCUGUUUCGUAAGGCACGUGAUUAGGGAAAUUGCUGGAUUAGCACCAUAUGAGAAGCGCAUCACUGCGCUUCUGAGGGUUUGUAAGGACAAGCGUGCUCUUAAGGUGGCGAAAAGAAAGCUUGGGACACACAAGAGAGCCAAGAAGAAGCAUGAAGAGAUGCUCAAUCUUCAUAGGAGGAAGAGAUACGAGACGUUAAUAAGCGGCACGGAUUGGUGGUGAAAAAUGUUGUGGUUGUGCUGAGAAUUUUUAGAGUUCCCAGUUAUGAUGAGAAGUAGGAUUUAUUUUGGAGUUCCCAGUUAUAUAAUAGUAAGAUAUCUUACUUGAUAUAUAUCAAGUGAAGGAAUUGGCGCUUAGCAGAAACUAUAUACUAUAUAUAUAAUCAACAGUCGUGCUA